GACGAACGCUGGCGGCGUGCUUAACACAUGCAAGUCGAACGGAAAGGCCCUGCUUUUGUGGGGUGCUCGAGUGGCGAACGGGUGAGUAACACGUGAGUAACCUGCCCUUGACUUUGGGAUAACUUCAGGAAACUGGGGCUAAUACCGGAUAGGAGCUCCUGCUGCAUGGUGGGGGUUGGAAAGUUUCGGCGGUUGGGGAUGGACUCGCGGCUUAUCAGCUUGUUGGUGGGGUAGUGGCUUACCAAGGCUUUGACGGGUAGCCGGCCUGAGAGGGUGACCGGCCACAUUGGGACUGAGAUACGGCCCAGACUCCUACGGGAGGCAGCAGUGGGGAAUAUUGCACAAUGAGCGGAAGCCUGAUGCAGCAGCGCCGCGUGCGGGAUGACGGCCUUCGGGUUGUAAACCGCUUUCGCCUGUGACGAAGCGUGAGUGACGGUAAUGGGUAAAGAGGCACCGGCUAACUACGUG
rnacentral:rRNA from 1 species